UACGUAGGGUCCGAGCGUUGUCCGGAAUUAUUGGGCGUAAAGGGCUCGUAGGCGGUCUGUUGCGUCGGGAGUGAAAACUUACAGCUUAACUGUGAGCGUGCUUUCGAUACGGGCAGACUUGAGGCAUUCAGGGGAGAACGGAAUUCCUGGUGUAGCGGUGAAAUGCGUAGAUAUCGAGAGGAACACCUGCGGCGAAGGCGGGUUGCUGGGCCGACACUGACGCUGAUGCGCGAAAGCCAGGGGAGCGAACGGG
rnacentral:rRNA from 1 species